UUGGUUUCUGGUGAGCACCGCAGCAAGCAGCAGCGACAGCGGCAGCAAGGCAAUGUGUAUGAUUUUUAGCGAGCGACCAUAUCACUGUCAUUGACUGCCUGAUGAGUACGUAAGCGCGCCUCGUCGUUCGAGUUGGAGUAAAAACAGAAAGAAAGAAUAACAAAGCAAGAUUGG
rnacentral:sRNA from 1 species